rnacentral:sRNA from 1 species
GGAUUGCAGUGGCAAAGCUAGGCUAGGUCUUGGAGGCUGGUGUAAGGCGAUGCGGGUGAAGGCAGGAGGCUGAUGGAGAGACUGGGGGGAAGAAAAGCCGAAAUGGAUUCACGGUGCCUUGGAUGAAGGACGAGAGGGGAACUGCAAGCUCCUUCAACUGGUUCUGUCCGGUGAGAAGUGAUCAAGCUUGGGCUGACAAGAGGCUCAGGGAGCCCUCACGUUCUUUCGCUUUUUUACCUGCCAAUCAAACUGCUACAAGACAACACCCUGAUCUGGCAUGGACAUUCAUUACAGUCACCUGGAGUCACGGAAAUGACCAUGAUUGCCUGAACUUUCAUGACUUCUGUGGAUAACUGUGGUUGCAGAAAAGAGAAAACCUGGACCGUGAGGGACAUUUCACUCCCUGGGCUUUGGUUGUAGUGCAGUGGCGCGAUCUUGGCUCACUGCAACCGCCACUUCCCAGGUUUAAGUGGUUCUCCUGCCUCAGCCUCCUGAGUACCUGCAAUUACAGACGCCCGCCACCACGCCAGUCUCAAUACCUUCACAGAGGUGAAGAAGCAGCAACCAAAUGAAUUAGACAGCAACAUGAUUCCUAGAGAAUGGCAAGACCAAUUCUUCAACUACUUCUUCAGCAUUUCUGAAACAUAUGGAAGAUGGCCCAUUGUGCUCUCUUAAUUCUUUGAUAAUCUGGACAUUGACUUUUCCAUUAUAUGACCUGGGCUUGUGGGCAUCAUGUCAUAAUGCACCUGUUCAGACAUCUCCCUGUACCAAUAUGGAUCACUUGAAGAGACUCCUUUGCCUCCAUCAAAAAGGAUACAGUUGUGUAUCUCUUCCAUUUUUGUUUACAGUGCCUAAAAUUAUUUGAGCAGUUUUUCACCUCUUCUCUGAUAAACACCUUAUUAGUC